rnacentral:rRNA from 1 species
GAUGAACGCUGGCGGCGUGCCUAAUACAUGCAAGUCGAACGGCAGCAUGGAGAGCUUGCUCUCUGAUGGCGAGUGGCGAACGGGUGAGUAAUGCAUCGGAACGUACCGUGUAAUGGGGGAUAACGUAGCGAAAGUUACGCUAAUACCGCAUACGACCUGAGGGUGAAAGCAGGGGAUCGCAAGACCUUGCGUUAUACGAGCGGCCGAUGUCAGAUUAGCUAGUUGGUGAGGUAAAGGCUCACCAAGGCGACGAUCUGUAGCGGGUCUGAGAGGAUGAUCGGCCACACGGGGACUGAGACACGGCCCAGACUCCUACGGGAGGCAGCAGUAGGGAAUUUUGGACAAUGGGGGCAACCCUGAUCCAGCCAUGCCGCGUGAGUGAAGAAGGCCUUCGGGUUGUAAAGCUCUUUCGGCCGGGAAGAAAUCGCACGGGCUAAUACUCUGUGUGGAUGACGGUACCGGCAUAAGAAGCACCGGCUAACUACGUGCCAGCCGCCGCGGUAA